rnacentral:misc_RNA from 1 species
GCGAAGGAUCAUCCUUGAUCUUCCUACCCUCAAACCACUGUGGACUUGAGAUGUGCUUCGGCGUCGAGAGGCGCCGCCUUUAUGCUUAGAGUCUUUCCAUGUCUGUAAACAUGAAUAGUCA